AGUAAACAACACCAAGACUUACGAACUGUUGGUUUAAAAAUUGGAAUACAAGUUAACUUAAUCUACAGAAGAUUAAUAGUCUCUUCUCAAUUCUCUGGACACCAUUGGAAUCCCCCUUUUCAGGAUUAGCGGUGCUCGGGUCCGGGAGGAACAUGGCGGCGUCCGUGAGGACCUAGCUUUGGGAAGAGAGUGUUUGUUGUGGUGCCACUGUCUUGCGGGAUAUUGACCGGCUGGAGCUUUCCGCGACUUCCCAAUUUAAGGAAGCGUGACCGAUAGGUGGACAGCUCUAGUUACCGGCGGUUCGCUCUCAUCCCCGUUUAGGAGCGGAGUCCUGAGCACUGACCAGAAUGAGCAACAUUUACAUACAGGAGCCUCCCACGAACGGGAAGGUUUUAUUGAAAACUACAGCUGGAGAUAUUGAUAUAGAGUUGUGGUCAAAAGAAGCUCCUAAAGCAUGCAGAAAUUUCAUCCAGCUUUGUUUGGAAGCAUAUUAUGACAACACCAUAUUUCACAGAGUUGUGCCUGGCUUUAUAGUCCAAGGGGGCGACCCCACCGGCACAGGGACUGGCGGAGAGUCUGUCUAUGGGGCCCCCUUCAAGGAUGAAUUCCACUCACGGUUGCGUUUUAAUCGGAGAGGACUGGUUGCCAUGGCAAAUGCUGGCCCUCACGAUAAUGGCAGCCAGUUUUUCUUUACCCUGGGUCGAGCUGAUGAACUUAACAAUAAGCACACCAUCUUUGGAAAGGUUACAGGGGAUACAGUAUAUAACAUGCUCCGCCUGACAGAAGUAGACAUUGAUGAUGAAGAAAGACCACGAAAUCCACAUAAAAUAAGAAGUUGUGAGGUUUUAUUUAAUCCUUUUGAUGACAUCAUUCCAAGAGAAAUAAAAAAGCCAAAAAAAGAAAAACCAGAGGAGGAAGUGAAGAAAUUGAAACCCAAAGGCACAAAAAAUUUUAGUUUACUUUCAUUUGGAGAGGAAGCUGAGGAAGAAGAGGAGGAAGUGAAUCGAGUUAGUCAGAGCAUGAAGGGGAAAAGCAAAAGUAGUCAUGACUUGCUUAAGGAUGAUCCACAUCUCAGCUCUGUUCCAGCUGUUGAAAGUGAAAAAGGGGAUGCAGCAGAAGAUUCAGAUGAUGAUGGAGAAUAUGAAGGUGCAGAGCAUGAUGAAUAUGUUGAUGGUGAUGAGAAAAACCAGAUGAGAGAAAGAAUUGCAAAAAAGUUAAAAAAGGACACAAGUGAGAAUGUUAAGACAGCUGGAGAGAGUGAAGUGGAGAAGAAAUCAGUUAGCCGCAGUGAAGAACUCAGAAAAGAAGCAAGACAAUUAAAGCGGGAGCUCUUAGCAGCAAAACAGAAGAAAGUAGAAAAUUCCGCAAAACAAGCAGAAAAAAGAAGUGAAGAGGAAGAGGCUGCUCCAGAUGGUGCUGUUGCAGAAUACAGACGAGAAAAGCAAAAAUAUGAAGCUUUGAGGAAGCAGCAGGCAAAGACAGGAACUUCCCGGGAAGACCAGACUCUUGCGCUGCUGAACCAGUUUAAAUCUAAACUCACUCAAGCAAUUGCUGAAACUCCUGAAAAUGACAUUUCUGAAACAGAAGUAGAAGAUGAUGAAGGAUGGAGGCAAGAAAUCAUCAACAGAGGUUUGUUGUUGUUCAGUCGCUCAGUCGUGUCCGACUCUUUGCAACCCCACGGACUGCAGCACGCCAGGCCUCCCUGUCCCUCACCAUCUGCCGGAGCUUGCUCAAACCCAUGUCCAUUGAAUUGGUGAUACCAUCCAACCAUCUCAUCCUCUGCCGUCUCCCUCUCCUCCCGCCUGUCAACAGAGGUUACUCACUCUUUGUUCAUGGUUUGGAACAAAACUGAGAAUUUCUCUCUUUUUUCUUUCCCUCUCUCUCCCCUCCCAUCUCUCUCUCCUUCCUCCUUCCCCCACCAGAGAAACAACACAGAAUGUGAGACCAUAAAUAUAUUGAUGUGUUCCAAAUCACCAUGGGGGAGGUGGAAGGGUCAGGAAACUUGUUAAAAUCAAUUUCCCAGGCCUCAGAAAUGACAAGUCUGUUGAUCUGGGGUGGGAGCCCAAGCAUCUGUUGCUUUUUCUGUUAGAUUUUUAACAAACUUCCCCAACAAUUCUGAUGCCUGUUUCCUGAAAAUCAGACUUAGAUGCUGCCCUAAAGCAUAAAGCUAGAGCAUGAAAUGCAUCUAUUGGAAAUGCAAAUUUAAAAUGGUAAAACAUAGAUUAAAUUUUUUAAUUACAUAUCCCUUAGUCCUUCCUUUAUGUAAUAAGUGCCUAAGUAAAUUCACUGUGUUCUAAGAUAUGCAGAAUGUUUCACAGAAACUGCAUAAAGUCAAGCAGACCUAUGCAAUCAAGCUAGAAGUGCAGAAGACAAAUAGGACAGCUUGUCUCUUCUCAGUUCACAGCAGUGGCCACGACAGCCCUUCCCGAACACAAUGUGUACAUGAUGGGAAAUAUAAUUAAUGAUCUUGGUAAGUCUUUCUAGUGCUCCAAGGCUGAGUAACUUAUCAGAUAGAAAAAACAGUUGAGUUCACUCAAACAAUGGGUGAUUUAUCCAGGUGUGUUUGAAUAUAACCUUCCCACAGCCAUCUUUUUGUAAGAAAUACUUCAAAGUUAGUAGAUAGCAAACUAGUUAUUCAAAAAGUUAAUCAGUGAAAUAUCCCCCAUCAUAACAUCAAGAUUAGAGUGUUUGUUCUCUACAUAUAAUCCCUUAGGUAUCCUUUUCUGGCAGUACUAAAUCUGCUACAAGAAAUAUUAGUGGAUUUUUCUUUUCCUGGUACUAUGGCUUCAUUUGCCUUAAGCUCAACUCACUCUCAGAAAUCUUUUCCCCAAGGAUAUAGGAAUGAGAAUAAAUUGGGAGAACCUUAUUAGGGUCCCUUCAUUACCUAAGGUGUAACAAUUAAAGGUCACAUUUACUUUUAUUGUGCUUUGGAAACAAUCAAGGGUUUCAUAUGUAACUCAAGUAGUUUUGACUUGAGUAGUGAUGCUUUCCCACUUCGCAUUCUCCUGCCACUUUCAAAUCUCAUCUGCAACCAUGGGGAAUGGGAGCGAGUUAAGACAAGCUAGGAUUACAAAAGCAAACCCUUAGGAACUUUGAGAAUAUAAAAAGCCCUUGCCUUCUGAUACAAGUUAAAAUGAAGAUUCAUUUCCAAUGAUCUUCUUUUAUCCCACGGCAUAUGCUCUAGAGCCUGAGCAUCUGCCUCUACAUCCUCUGAUCAAAGAAGAAAACUUUCCUUUGCUUCUAAACCAAACCUGGUCUCUUUCUAUUGGUUCAAACAACACCGAGGGGUGGGCGGAGGACCCUUGCUGGGGCUUGACUUCACAGGGUUUAUACCACCACUGUCUUGGAACUCUCUCCUCUCACCUCUUAAUCCUGACUCUCCCUUUCCUACCAGCAAUUCUUGUCCUGCUCCUCUUUUUUUUUUUUUUUUUUUGAACUCUGAUCUUAGAUGCUGGCUCUGAGGAACCUGGUCAAUACUCCCUGAGAUAAAAUGGCCUUCAGAGCCAAGGCAUUUAACAGGUGGGAGAUAAAAGUGCUGCCUGCUCCACAUGACUUAGCCUUUACCACCUCACUUUCCUACCGCGAAUACUCAUCAAACACUUGUCUUCCUAUAAAACUUGUGGCACAAGCUAGCCGAUUUAGUGACAAGACAGUAACUUAUGACUUGGGCCAUCUGAUGCUCCAUCUCACCUGCAGAGGCCCAUGGCUUGUUCAAGAAAUAGAUCUGCCUGGAAGUUCAGACUCUACGAUAACUAAAGAGGCUUCUGAGCAUCACCGUUCCGAACCACAGCCCUCUGCCUCUGGCCCCCAACCAUCUGCAGCACUUUGAGGAAGAUGGUUUUUCACCAGGCCUACAAUUUCAUGGCCACCCAGUAAGAUGUGGAACAAAGACACUCUUCCCAGGCCUGUGAGCUAUAUGAGUAGCCAAAGUGUCUCUCCACAGGCUGGCGAUAGUCCCAGGUUUAAGAACAAGGUCCUCAUGACCUACUGAGCUGGGAGAAGAUCGUGUUCCUGGAUAACAACCUGCCUUUGGCUCCUGGGUGAACCCUCUCUGUAGGUAUAAUGUGAAAAUGUGUUCAGUGCCUCUCUUCAAAGAAAACCUCCUCUCUGCUGACAAGGUCAGGAGUUUGGAAGAAGCCAGCAGGCAAUGUAAUCAUUUGGUAACAUCCUUCCCACUGCCAAGAUGGAUUAAUGCUGGGAGAUCUUACAACUGGGUGACGUCAUAGGUGCGCAGAGAUAAAACAGGCUCCCCUCUGAAGGCUCCGGCGCAGAGCAGGGUCCUGAGGCCCGGAGGCGAUCCCGGGACUCCGCCCCGCCCAGACGGCCGUAGCCAACUCUGCCCUGCGGCCCGGAGGAGCGCUGGGUGCACGGCCACGCAGCCUCUGUUCUUUAUUGCUUUGGCCCACUGGUUAAAUGCAAAAGUUCAAGACUUUCUGUGUUUUUCAUGGUUAUAAAAGUAGGACAUGCUCAUUUCAAAAGCUGGAAAAUUAUAAAAGAGAAAGGUAAUCAACCAACGGCUCACCCUGCGGGCUCCAUCUCUGUUCAUUUUGAUGCACUUCUUUCCAGCCUUUUUUGUCUUUCUUUGC